UACAGAGGGUCUCAAGCGUUUGUUCGGAUUCAUUGGGCGUAAAGGGUGCGUAGGUGGUUUGUCGCGUUGUUCGUGAAAUCUCACGGCUUAACUGUGAGCGUGCGGGCGAUACGGGCAGACUAGAGUACUGCAGGGGAGACUGGAAUUCCUGGUGUAGCGGUGGAAUGCGCAGAUAUCAGGAGGAACACCGGUGGCGAAGGCGGGUCUCUGGGCCGUAACUGACACUGAGGCACAAAAGCAUGGGGAUCAAACAGG
rnacentral:rRNA from 1 species